GGAACAGAGCGGGAGGGAGAGACAGAAAGAGAGCCAGGGACAACAACGUCACAUUAAAAAGAGCUCAUUACGGGCUCCCGCCCUUGGCCCACACACCUGUGAUCCUCCACACCCGAAGCUCGUUGGCUGACGACUUUCCAGUGACUAUUUAAGAUGGCGUCUCAGUGUUUUUCUUUGCUGGACCAUUAUAGUCUGCUAUCUUUCUGAAGCCUUCCCCCGUGUGUUCUGGAUUGUCGCGAGUUUUUCGGAGUGGACAUUGUGUGGAUUGUUCAUUGUGGGACCUGUGUGGAGCGGGCAUGGAGUGUCUUGUCUUCUUCCCCUGCCCGCAGAGGGCAGGAGAAGAAGGGAGCUCAUUAUGGGCCCCUGCCCUUGACCUACCUACACACCUGUGAUUACAGUUCACCUGGUGUUUUUGUGUCUAAUAGACUUUGUACACAGAUUUCCUGAGUCCGCGUGUGAACCCAUUCUGUCAGCCCCACAAGCUGUAUAAUGUUAUAAUAUUUAUUAAAGCAUA